GAUGAACGCUAGCGGGAGGCCUAAUACAUGCAAGUCGAACGGUAAGGCUCCUUCGGGAGUACACGAGUGGCGGACGGGUGCGUAACGCGUACGAAAUAUACCUUCAACAGGGAGAUACCUCCGGGAAACUGGAAAUAAUACCCCAUAGUAUUAUUGAUUCGCAUGAAUUAAUAAUUAAAACUUACGGUGGUUGAAGAUUAUCGUGCGUCUGAUUAGUUAGUUGGUGAGGUAAUGGCUCACCAAGACGAUGAUCAGUAGCUGGUCUGAGAGGAUGAUCAGCCACACUGGAACUGAGACACGGUCCAGACUCCUACGGGAGGCAGCAGUAGGGAAUAUUGGAC
rnacentral:rRNA from 1 species